AUGUCCUCCCAAAAGUUAAAGUGGACAGGAAGAAAACUAAGGGAGACAAAGCAAACAAGAAAAGACAAGCACACUAGACCGGAGAAGCAGCAACGCGCCACCGUCAUGCACAUCAAGAGCGUCCCUAUCCUUACUCCGGCUCCUCCUGCUCGACCAUGGACGCUAAGGCGAUGGGAUGUGAGGAGAUCUCUCCGCGCGCUUCCUCCCUGCAGCGCAGUAGCGAGGUGUCGGCCAAAUGAAGAUAGCAACCACACAUGCCGCAACGAGACCGUGGAGCAUCGGAUUUUUGCCUGGGAUGAUGCGGUGGCAUUGAAAUUAUAUCCCCAUGCUUCCUAG
rnacentral:rRNA from 1 species